UACGAAGGGGGCUAGCGUUGCUCGGAAUCACUGGGCGUAAAGGGUGCGUAGGCGGGUCUUUAAGUCAGGGGUGAAAUCCUGGAGCUCAACUCCAGAACUGCCUUUGAUACUGAAGAUCUUGAGUUCGGGAGAGGUGAGUGGAACUGCGAGUGUAGAGGUGAGAUUCGUAGAUAUUCGCAGGAACACCAGUGGCGAAGGCGGCUCACUGGCCCGAUACUGACGCUGAUGCACGAAAGCGUGGGGAGCAAACAGG
rnacentral:rRNA from 1 species